rnacentral:rRNA from 1 species
GUGGCGGACGGGUGAGUAAUGUAUGAGCAACCUGCCUUUCAGAGGGGACAACAGUUGGAAACGACUGCUAAUACCGCAUAACGUAUUUGGGUGGUAUCACCUGGAUACCAAAGGAGCAAUCCGCUGAAAGAUGGGCUCAUAUCUGAUUAGCUUGUUGGCGGGGUAACGGCCCACCAAGGCGACGAUCAGUAGCCGGACUGAGAGGUUGAACGGCCACAUUGGGACUGAGAUACGGCCCAGACUCCUACGGGAGGCAGCAGUGGGGAAUAUUGGGCAAUGGGCGAAAGCCUGAACCCCAGCAACGCCGCGUGAAGGAAGAAGGUCUUCGGAUUGUAAACUUCUUUUAUGAGGGACGAAGGACGUGACGGUACCUCAUGAAUAAGCCACGGCUAACUACGUGCCAGCAGCUGC